rnacentral:RNase_P_RNA from 1 species
UGCUCAUUAGGAAAGUCCGGGCUUUAUGGAGUGACGAAACCGGUUAACGGCCGGGCGGGGUGACCCGACGGAAAGUGCAGCAGAAAAUAAACCGCCGAUGGUUGGCUUUUAUGCCUUCACAGGUAAGGUUGAAAUGGUGUGGUAAGAGCGCACCGCGGCUCUGGUAACAGGGCUGGCAGUGUAAACCCUUUCGUUAAGCAAGAUCAAAUAGGGGCUGCAUAUGGUGUAUUCCACGCCGCAGCCCGGGUAGAUCGCUUGAACCUGUCAGUAAUGGCAGGUCUAGAUGAAUAGCCAUCCUCCCUUGCGGGAGACAGAACCCGGCUUAUAGAUCUUCUGA